rnacentral:rRNA from 1 species
AUGUGGCGGGGCGAUACACAUGCAAGUCGAGCGAGGGCUCAUUUCCCGCAAGGGAGAUGGGUUCCUAGCGGCCCCUUUUUGAGUAACACGUGGGCAACCUUUCCUAUCGCGGGGGACCUUUGCGGGAAACCGCUGCUAAUACCGCAUGUAGUCACCGGUCGCAUGGCCGGUGAAAAAAGCAGCAAUGCACGAUGGGGUGGGCCCGCGGCCUAUCAGCUAGUCGGUGGGGUCACGGCCCACCGAGGCGAUGACGGGUAGCUGGUCUGAGAGGACGACCAGCCACACGGGGACUGAGACACGGCCCCGACUCCUACGGGAGGCAGCAGUGAGGAAUCUUCCGCAAUGGGCGAAAGCCUGACGGAGCGACACCGCGUGUGGGAUGAAGUCCUUCGGGAUGUAAACCACUGUUGGAGGGGAAGACAACUGACGGUACCCUCCGAGAAAGCCCCGGCUAACUACGUGCCAGCAGCCGCGGUAAUA